rnacentral:lncRNA from 1 species
AAUGGUAUCCAGGAAAAUGCUUGACCCAGAAGCUUCUUAAGAAGAAGCCCAAGAAAGGAUCCAAGAAUGCCAAGCCAAUUACUAAAACUGAAGACUGUGAAAGUUUUUUCAACUUCUUCAGUCCACCACAAGUUCCUGACGAUGAUGAAGACAUAGAUGAAGAUACUGUAAUGAUGAACUUCAUUAAAUCUAUUGAAAUGAUUGGUGAUAUUUCAUUUCUUCUUGUUUAAAUUCUGGGUUCUGUUUUUGUUUGAUUUUCUUGUUCUUGAACAGGCUGAGGAAUUGCAAAAUCAGAUGGAGCAAGAUUAUGACAUUGGGUGAGCUCUUUUUUUCCAAAUAUUUCCUUAUUGUUAUGGAUUGGGUUUCUAAGUGACAAUCAGUGUUUAUUUUUAAACGUUAUAGAGUCCCGCAACUGCUAGCCACCAAUUUCCAUACUUGUUUUUCCCUGUUGAACUUCUUUCAUUUAUUUGUCUUUGCUUUCAGGUCAACCAUUCGAGACAAGAUCAUCCCCCAUGCUGUGUCAUGGUUUACCGGGGAGGCUGUUCAGGGGGAUGAGCUUGGACUAGAUGAUGGUGACAAUGACGAUUAUGAAGAUAUUGAUGAGGAUGAUGACGAGGAGGAAGAUGAGGACGAUGAAGAAGAUGAAGAUGAAGAAGAUGAGGAUGAGGAUGAGGAUGAAGGCAAGACCAAAAAGAAGGUUAGAUUAUCUUGAAAUCUGAAUUGGCCAUGUUGUAUUUCUUUUCCUUUUAUCUAUUUGAAGUUUGGUG